rnacentral:rRNA from 1 species
CCGUGCCCAAGAGAUCGGGAUAACACCUGGAAACAGAUGCUAAUACCGGAUAACAACAGAUGAUGCCUAUCAACUGUUUAAAAGAUGGUUCUGCUAUCACUCUUGGAUGGACCUGCGGUGCAUUAGCUAGUUGGUAGGGUAACGGCCUACCAAGGCGAUGAUGCAUAGCCGAGUUGAGAGGCUGAUCGGCCACAUUGGGACUGAGACACGGCCCAAACUCCUAGGGAGGCAGCAGCU